UACAGAGGGGGCAAGCGUUGUCCGGAAUCAUUGGGCGUAAAGAGCGUGUAGGCGGCCUGAUAAGUCGGCUGUGAAAGUCAAGGGCUCAACCCUUGAAUGCCGGCCGAUACUGUCAGGCUAGAGUCCGGAAGAGGCGAGUGGAAUUCCUGGUGUAGCGGUGAAAUGCGCAGAUAUCAGGAGGAACACCUAUGGCGAAGGCAGCUCGCUGGGACGGUACUGACGCUGAGACGCGAAAGCGUGGGGAGCGAACAGG
rnacentral:rRNA from 1 species